AUGAUUUGGUGUUUUCUGUUUGCUUGUCACCCCAGUGAUCACAGAUAUGUGUGUGGCAGCAGCCUCUCUCCAUCAUGGAAAGUUGGGACAAAUACUCUGCCGGCAUAAAUCAAUGCAGCUCUCUGGAGCUGGUCGCUGAAGACAGGAUUUCUAAAUGAGCCUGAGAAUUACACAUGCAAAUCCCAUAGGCCUGGAAUUGGGAACAUCUGAGCAACAAAUUGUCCUUGCUAAAGAUGGUGCCGGAGCCAAAAAGCCUACAGAUUUCGGGCCUGCUGAGUAACGCUGCUGAGGAUCCCAACGGCAAGAGCUGAGCACCAGGAGAGGGGUGUGCGUGUCCAGCGUUUUGGUAAGAGCUGCUGUGCAUUGAGGGGGAUGCAGAACUCCGGGUUUGGCCAAGUAUUUCCUUCAAACUUCCCAAUGAAGUGCACAAUUACAGUCACUAGCCCUGCCACAGCUACAAGAGCCAAGAACACACUCAAGUUACAAGCAACUUACCAUCACGUAGUACAAGAAAGAAUGGAAUGAGCAUCUCCAAAUGGAGUUUUCUCUGGGUUUUGGUCGUGCCCGUCCCCAUCACGCUGCUGGGAGUGAUGAGUGUGGCUGCACUGAGCCCGGUACUAAACGACUCCUGUGCCCGAGAGCAUGCUGCUCACUGAUGGAAUGGUUGGAGAGCAUGGCCGUGCUCCAUUCCUCCUAUUAUUACCCCCAGCACUGUGCCUCCAUGUCCUUCCAGCAUGGUUUCCUGGUUUAUGGAAUUGCAGGAUCUGCUCUUCACCAUCUGAUCAGCAACACAUACAAGCGGCCCACUGGAGGCUACGCUGUGCUGUGCUGAUGGGCCUGGCUGGAUCUGCUGCCUGUGCCAUGCACACUGCAGAAUAUCACAUUUCACUUUGGCCAAGCUCUCUCUUUUUCACCCCCAGAACAAUCCCACCCAGGAACACCAUGGGUUUGCUUGCAAGCACUUUGGCUGCAAGCUCUGCUUCUUGACCAGGCACUGCUGGAGGCUGGGAUGCACCAACACUGACGGUGAAUCACAGAGAAAGGGGAUGUUG